ensembl:lncRNA
CAUGUGCCAAGCAGGAGAAGCUGUGUGGCAUGUUUCAAGGCUGUGUGAUGGAUGAAACGACUAGUUGCCUUGUGAACAGGGUGGAGUGUGCUUACUGGAGAUAUACUGAUGGGUGUCUCAGAGAAUUGAGUAGAUUUAUUCAAUAACAAAGAUGAUGCGUGAUUGUCGUUUACUUUUAUUGAAAAUAUUGGAGGCUUGAUGUUAGGUCGUAAGAUAUGACUUUAAAUGUUAUAAGUGGCUUGAAUUUGUGAGAUUGUGUUUUUGUUUUGUUUGAACCAGCAAACAGCAGGGUUCCCAAUUUCUUACACAUAGUUGACUCUGUAAAGGUGAGAGGGAGCAAUUUGUAGUGGUCUGAGUCAAGUGAGUGUUGGGUUUUGACACUUGUAGUGUUAUUUGGUUUCAUGCUGUGAUUGUGAGUAUU